AGCAUUCUUUGUUUUAUUUGUUACAAGUAGACUGUAAUUUCUGGAUCUCUAUCUGACAUCUUUUUAUUGGGCACUUACCCUCCCGGAUGUGUUUAUAAAAUUCCCCAUUUCAUUAGAGGGACAUCACCAAUAAAUCUGAUGUAUAAACCUCUUCCUUAAUCCAGGAGAAAGCAGUCUGUUGGAGUUAAUGGAAUCAUUUCCAUCAUUUCCAACAGACCUGGGAAUAAACCUACAAGGGUUAAAAAUAUAUAACCAGAAUCACAAAGUGGAGGAAGGAAUACAGUGCAUUUUCUCUGCAACAGAGAUAUUUUUAGUUUUGUAUUCUUUAGAAUCCCUAUAAAGGUAUGUCCCUCAUGCACAGUUGUCUAAAAUAGCAUUUAGGCAUUUAGGCUUGAGUUGAUUUAAUCCCGUACAGAAGUGUGCUCUAAAUUUUUCAGGGCAGUGCAAAUGUUCAAAAAUGGUGUCUUCAUGUUCAAAAGCUCAGUAUCAUUUAGAGAAACUGUGCCGAUAAAUUAAAGAGUAUUUCUACUAAAAAUAGAAAUGGUGGUGUCCUGUAGAAAAAAUAUUCUCUAUUUUCUGAACUUAAAAUAUGGUUUAAAAUUCAAUGAUCAGAUCCUCAGCACGUGUAAAUCAUCACAGAAAUGAUGCUGUAACACUUUACAUGAUAUUACCAAAUUGUCUUGCUGGUAAUUAAGAAUAUCCUCUAUGGAAUAAAGACCAAUGACAGGAGAAAGUAUAAGUUGAUAUUGUCUCAGCACGCAUUAGUGGUAGACAGAAAUAUUCAUGUGCAUAAUCUUACACCUUGCCUACAUGAUACCCAGUGGGCUAAAGUAAUAGCAUACAGAAUUAUCUUGGAAAAGGCAAUUCUCAACAGAAACUAAAAGUCUUAUGAGCUGUCUGUAAAUCUCUCAUAAUUAUACAUUGCAAAAAUGAAAAUAAAACUAAGGCAUGCACUUGGAAAAUGUUUCUUUCAACUUUCUAAAAAAAAUCCAGAGCAUAUUACUCAAAUAUUUUUCUGCAUUUCAUCCCAAGAAAAUCGGUACCUCUUUUCCCAAUUUUUUUUUCAUAGGGUUACUAUGACUGUAUACUGCAGCCCAGAGAAACAAAUGUAAUUCCUAUUGGGAAGGUAAUGAAGUCAUUCUCAUGAAACAUGACAAAUCUUAGCUCUGUAUUUCUGGUGUAAAUUUCAGGGGAAAAGGAUAUCUCUUAAUUCAAUAGCCACUUCCACAAAGAGCCAUGCAAGCCAUGCUGUCUGCUACAGCACAGUUCCUUUAAUAUACCAACACAGACUUUUCCAGAAGCACUUUUAGCAAGUGCUUCCCUUCCUCAGUAUUAAAAGCACAUCUCUUCUGAUCCUUGUGAAAUAAACAGCUUCCUUAGGGAGAUGUGAGGCACAGGGCACUCAGAGAAGCUGUGGCUGUCCCAUCCCUGGCAGUGUUCAAGGACAGGUUGGAUGGGGCUUGGAGCAACCUGGCUUAGUGUAAGGUGUCCCUGCCCAUGGCAGGGGGUUGGAACUGGAUGAGCUUUAAGCAUCCCUUCCAACCCAAACUAUUCUAUGAUGUCCAUUUUGAGCAGCAUAGUCUCAGGGUUGGGAUCUCAGAUGUUCAUGAAAUGUGCUCUGACCUAUGUCUUCUGUCCAUGGCUUUCCCCAGUAUUCCUAUGGGGGUUUUGAAAUCACUUGUUUUUAAUUCAAAUUAAAUU
rnacentral:lncRNA from 1 species